CCUGAACCAGCAACGCCGCGUGGUGCGAUGAAGGCCUUCGGGUUUGUAAAGCACUUUUUGAGGGGAUGAGGAAGGACAGUACCCUCAGAAUAAGUCUCGGCUAACUACGUGCCAGCAGCCGCGGUAACACGUAGGAGACUAGCGUUAUUCGGAUUUACUGGGCGUAAAGCGCGUGCAGGCGGUUCGGUAAGUUGGAUGUGAAAGCUCCCGGCUUAACUGGGAGAGGUCGUUCAAUACUGUCGAACUUGAGAGUGGUAGAGGGAGGUGGAAUUCCGGGUGUAGUGGUAAAAUGCGUAGAUAUCCGGAAGAACACCAGUGGCGAAAGCGGCCUCCUGGACCAUUUCUGACGCUCACACGCGAAAGCUAGGGUAGCGAACCGCAUUACAGACCCCGGUAGUCCUAUCCCUA
rnacentral:rRNA from 1 species